GUUAGGGUUAGGGUUAGGGUUAGGGUUAGGGUUAGGGUUAGGGUUAGGGUUAGGGUUAGGGUUAGGGUUAGGGUUAGGGUUAGGGUUAGGGUUAGGGUUAGGGUUAGGGUUAGGGUUAGGGUUAGGGUUAGGGUUAGGGUUAGGGUUAGGGUUAGGGUUAGCGUUAGGGUUAGGGUUAGGGUUAGGGUUAGGCACAUUAGGGUUAGGCUCAUUAGGGUUAGGGUUAGGCACAUUACGGUUAGGCACAUUACGGUUAGGGUUAGGCACGUUAGGGUUAGGGUUAGGCACGUUAGGGUUAGUGUUAGGGUUAGGUUUAGGCACAUUAGGGUUAGGGUUAGGCUCGUUAGGGUUAGGGUUAGGGUUAGGCACGUUAGGGUUAGGAUUAGGGUUAGGCACGUUAGGGUUAGGGAUAGGCACGUUAGGGUUAGGGUUAGGGUUAGGCACAUUAGGGUUAGGGUUAGGGUUAGGCACGUUAGGGUUAGGGUAAGGCACAUUAGGGUUAGGGUUAGGCACUUUAGGGUUAGGGUUAGGGUUAGGCACAUUAGGGUUAGGGUUAGUGUUAGGGUUAGGGUUAGGGUUAGGGUUAGGGUUAGGGUUAGGGUUUGGGUUAGGGUUAGGGUUAGGGUUAGGGUUAGGGUUAGGGUAAGGUUAGGGUUAGGGUUAGGUUUUGGUUAAGGGUUAGGGUUAGGAUUUGGCUUAUUGUUAUGAUUAGGGUUAGGGUAAGGGUUUGGAUUAGGAUAAGGCUAUGGUUAGGGUUUGUUUUAGGGUUAUGGAUAGGAUUAAGGUUAGUGUUAGUUUUUUGGUUAGUGUUAGGGUUAUGUUAGGUUUAGGGUUAGGGUUAGGGUUAAGGUUAUAUUCUGUUUAGGGUUAGGUUUAGGGUUAGGGUUAAGGUUAGGGUUUGUCUUAAUGUUGGUUUAGGGAAAGGGUUGUGUUAGUGUUAGGGUUUAGGUUUAUAGUUUGUGUUACGACUAAGUUUAGGUUUAGGGUAAGGGUUAGUGUUUCUUUUAAUGUAGGUAUAGGGUUAGGGUUAGGCUUAGUUUGGAGAGGUUUAUUGAUGACUGGCUGACUGAGAAAAGCCACGCAGACACUGUGCAGCUGGUUAAGCAACCUUGUCACACUCAAGAUCAGGUAUGAGAACAAGGAACAAAACAGGAUGCAGUUGAAGAAAGCUGGCAACAGUGUUUUGAGAAGUCAGUAAGAGUGUUUGCUGAGAG
ensembl:lncRNA